UUUUACUCUCAUGACACCAAUAUUCUUAGCAGAGCAUUUACCCUAAACAUAAAAUCAUAGACUCACUCUGACAUUGGCAAAUCCUCACGGAAGCCAUUAUACAAGAAGAAGAAGAAGAAGGUAGAGAUAUUGAGUG